rnacentral:tRNA from 1 species
GUUAAUGUAGCUUAACAAUAAAGCAAAGCACUGAAAAUGCUUAGAUGGAUGUCUCAAUCCCAUAAA